ensembl:lncRNA
UAACUAUUCAGUAUACAGUGUAGCAUUGUUAACUAUAGUCACCAGGCCGUAAUGUCUCAUGUAAUUCUCUGAAGGAUAUUAUGAAGUAGCUGCUCUCAUUUCCACUUUAAAGAUGGUAAUAUUGGGGGCAGAAGAGUCAACUGAUUUUCGGGCUAGUCAGCAUGCUAGUCAACGUCAGAAGUGAGAUUCAAAGGCAUCUGACAGCUAUGCUUCUACCAAAUAAGGAGCAGGUGAAAUAGUAAGGUUGAACUCUCUCUUUCUUAUGUGAGGAAUUCAAGGGAAGGACACCGCUAGCAUUAGACUCUGGGUGAAAAAAAUCAAAGAAAAGUAGAACUCUCCUGGGAGACCCUUGUUUGAAAUUGUGUUUUCCCCCGUGUUUUGGUUUGGGUUAAAUGUGACUAGUCCCUCGGGCUUUGGGUGUCUUUAUAAAAUCUUUGAGGCCAAGACGCAGCUUCCAAAUGCCAUUGCACUAACAUUAUAAUAAAGUGCAAAAGACAUAUUUCAUGUUAGCUAGUGAGGUCAAGAUGAAGUUCAUGUUUUGAAGCUUACUUUCUCUAAAAUAAUUUCCUAAUCCUCUACCUGCUUUUAUUUUUUCAUUUUAUCUAGCAAAUUUUUGUAUGUAUUAAAUAUUUAACAUACAUAUUACAUCAUGGGUGUGUGUGUGCUAGGUUGCUUCAUUCAUCUCCUACUCUUUGUAACCCUGUGGACUGAUCCUGCCAAGUUCCUCUGUCCAAGGGAUUCUCCAGGCAAGAAUGUUAGAGUGGGUUGCCAUGCCCUCCUCCAGAGGACCUUCCCAACCCAGGUAUCGAACCUGCAUCUCCUGCAGCUCCUGCUUUGCAGGCAGAUUCUUUACUAGCCACCAGGGAAGCCCAUAUUACAUCAUAUGACUAGUUAUACGGAGAACCCAGACGUCAAUUGUGGUUCCUUUCUUCUUGAGAUCUAUAUCAGCCUGUGUUCCUACACUAUGCUCUAUGUAAAGUCCUUCCCUAAGACUUUCAAAACUUCAAGGGUCAUGAAAUUAAGUGUCUGACCCUAACUUCUUGACUGUGAAUUCCAGAGUUCCCAUAUCAUUCUUUCUUCUUGCUGAUUUCCACUGGGCUUCUAUUGAAGCAUGGAUUUUAGCCCAUUUUUCUGAUUUUCACAGAAAUACUAGGCUUUUUAUUUUUUUUUUUCACAUUUUGCAGACUGUACUGAAAGUUCGGAGAGAAGAAUAGAGUCUGUAUCCUAGGAUAGCAAAAUCUUAUCCAAUAUUAAGCCUGUUUCUCAACAUAAGCCCUUCUCAUACCUCUCUAAGUUGUGGGGUUAUCCUCUCUCUUCUCCUUCCUCCUUUCUUUUUUCCUCUGAUCCCAAGAUCAAAUAUUUCUCCUCCAUUUUCUUAUGCAAAGAAAUUCAGAUCCCUUCUGGCCCUAUCUCCAAAUUCAGGUCUUGGCCUUUCUUUGCAUAAUCAAACACUCUGGAAAGCUUUUAAUUAUCAGACUCUUCUAGAGAAAGCAGAAAUUUCUUUUUUUUUUUUUUUCAGUUACUUAUUAACACAAAUGUAAGUCAUAUAUCCCAUUUAUAGACAAAUUUCCUUAAGCACAAGGACAGAGUUUUCCUUCUUUUUUGCUGUUUCUAUAUAGUUACUCUUGUAUGAAAUUUAGGAGUUGGUUUAUUCAUAUUUGUUUGUCUGAAUACACAGACAAAAAGAUAGAAGCAUGAAAUGGAGGAAUAAAAUGGAAGGUCCUGCGGUGUUACCUGUUAUUCUGGUGGGCUGAGAAUGCUCUUUACCCCCAGGCCAUAUCCAGUAGUGCCCUUGGUGCCUUAGUGUCUUUGCGUGAAGGCUGACAGCAGUUUAAUUCCUUCUCUCUGCCUUGAAUUGCUCCUUGCUUUCUACCUCUUUUGUUGGAUUCUUUCCUUUUCAAGUUAGUUUCUGUCAUAUUUCCUACUGAUUUACCCUUUAGAUUUUAAUUUCUCUCUUUUUUGAUAAUGAAAAUAGUAAUAGCAGUUAUUAUUUUGACUGUCUAAUUUUCUCUCCAGCUAACUUGAUUAUGUUCCUACAGGUGAAGAAGAAUCUCAGGAGCUAGAUCUUUUGGUCAUGGGGCUUCCCAGAGUUGAGGAUAGAAGCAUGGAGUGCUGGCCUAGAUAAUCAAGUGAUUCAAGCAAGACCUAAGUAGCAGAGGAAGUGACAAUUAGAAGACCCAGACUGGGAAACCAGGGUUCCCUGAACCAGAGUGGUUCAGAGGCAAGUUUUGCAGACAGGGUAUGAAGCUGAGAAUUUAAAAAUGAGCUAAACAAGAAAAUGUAAGCAGAUUAUCAGGGUGGAAGGGAGACCCAGAUUAUGGGUUCCAAGCUAUUUUUAGGAUACCCAUUGAUUUUCAUAGGUUUUUCUGUUUGCUUGUUUUGGUUAUGAGCAGGACAAAGGGGAUUUAUGUUCUAAAUAAAACGUACAAGGUAGAAUAAUUAUUGGGCACCCUCCCUUUUGAAAACAUAGAUUAAAAACGUAUUAUUGGAAAGCAAACUAUGCACUAGAAAUUAGGUGAAAUUUUUGCUCUCUUUUUAACUUUUUGAAACACAGCUAUGCAUACUUAUUGUAAAAACAGAGCGAUUGUGUUUUUUUCUUUGUUUGUGUGAGAGAGAGAGGAGGAGAAAUGGAGAGUAUAAAGUUCUUUUGUUUUGGUACCUUUUUACCCUAAUCAAAUUCCCUCUUGUAGAGCCUCCACUGUGAAUAAGAAAUAUCACUAUUGCAAGAUUCAUAAUAUUCCAUUUAUUUGAUAUAAGGCAGGACACAUUUCUUUUUUUCUGACUACUGGAAGAGACUCGUCUUUUGUUCUUUCAUGAACUAAUCUUCUCAAAGCUUCCUUUACUCUUGACUUGUGUUUCCAGACCAGAAAUGUACUCAGAUUCAAAUCUAGGGGCAGUGCUAAGUCAACGAAAAGUGUACAUGGUCUUCUAUUGUGCUAUUUUGUUUGUUUUGACACUGUAGCCUUCUGUGUGGGUGGAACUCGGCUAGUUCAUGCUGUACUGUUCACAGAGGGAAAUAUUGGGGUCACGAGAAGCUGUUUUACAGGUCAGCCAAACCACAGCAUAUAAGCACUACUCUGCUGCUGCUGCUGCUAAGUCACUUCAGUCAUGUUCGACUCUGUGUGACCCUAUAGACGGCAGCCCACCAGGCUCCCCUGUCCCUGGGAUUCUCCAGGCAAGAACACUGGAGUGGAGCUUGGAGAAGAACUCAGCUGGAACCAGGAAUGAUGGAGAAGAAAGGCUAAUGAACAGAAUGUUACUAACACCACUGAUCAGUUGCCUUGUUGUUUUUGAUUUUGGUACUGCCACAAGCACCACAUAAAAGCGGAGAUGAUUCACAUGUUUAAUAUGAUAAAGCGCAUAUUAAAGUUUAGAUGCUUUCAGAUUUUCUAAGUCCAGCUAAGGAAGGCUACAGAGGCCAACAUUUAACCACCCUAGGGCUCAGCAAGCACCUUGUCACAACCUAAGUACUAAAGAAAAUGGUACAGUGAAAUAAAAUUUUGAGAAGUUAUAAUAAAUAAGACACUUGCUGCCUCAUUGGAUUUUAGUUAUUUCAGUAUAGAUGUUUGUGAGUACUUUUGUGUGUAUAUGUGGACUGUGUGUGUAUGAAAUUUAUAGCAAUUAUUCACAUUCAUGUUUUUCCUAUUGCAAAAAUCACAGUUCUCUUCAGUUAUUACAAAAGUUAGUGGAUAGGAAAGGGAAAGGGGGAUAGAGCAGUGAUUUACAUCUGCCAUUUUAUAAGGUCAGAGAUCUUGGAAGGAUCUGAAAAGUACAGAUGCUAAAUAGAUAUGCAUAAGAAAACUGGAAAUCUCUUAGGCAAUCACCAUUUGCAUCUCACAGACCCGAUCCUGGACAAUCCUAUUUUUCACCACUGCCAUUGGCCAGUUGGCCAAGACAACACAAGUAACUUCUGGAGAGUUAGAAAUUCAGAUGUUAUAAAUCUGCUCUUUGAAUAUGCGGGCUCUAGACCAGCACUCCUCUUUGAUGUGUCCUUGGCAACACUGAAGAAUUGUGAAUGGGUUACAGGCGUGCCAACAUAUUUAUCCCUAAGGACUUCUUGGUAGACGAGUAGCACUGAGGGUAGCCAGUGGACCCUAUAUGGUCACCUUUAGCCGUGAGCACCUUUAGAGAUUACCCCACUAUGACAUAAAAAAUGGGUUCACUUUCUAUGUUGUCAUGCAUGUACAUAGCUGGGAAGUACUGCUCUAGACCUCAGCUUCCUAUGAAGUAAGAGGAACUGGACAGGCUUAUUUUAAAGGUCUAUUCCAUCCCUAUAAUUCUAUGAGCAUAUAUCAGCCUGAAGUUAAAAUACCCAGAACUCCCUGUCCCUUAAGCCAUAGUUCCCUCAACCACAGAAGCUCAUAAAAAUUGAAUUAAAAAACAUGGACAAAUGUAGCAGAGAAUAUUUCAUGUACUGGAAAUCUACUGCAUGAUUUUUAUUGAACUCCAUACACAAAAGUCAAUCCUUGUUUUUGGAAUAGCAAAUGGACCAAAGAAGCUAUAAUAUGAUCUAUUAUUAUUUUUAAAAAAAGCUGUUAUAAGACCUGUGACAUGUCUCUGUGAUCCACCCAGUUCUCUGCUUUCUCUAAUUUGUUGUUUUUUGGCCAUCCCCAGUAGUUAGAUAGGUGGGCUCUCAAAUUCUAUGCAAAGAUGACCUUGAAAAGAGAAAAAAUAAUCAUUGACCCAUUUCAUUAGUCACCAAGGAGGAGUGUGUAAGGAGAAAGACAAUAGAACUGACUGACUCUUAUAUGUUCAAUAAUAUUCUUCUUGUAAGAAAUCAGAUUUAAUUACUUGUUGAAGAGAUACAGUGGUUUUUUUCUAGAUUCAGAAAAAAAUAUUUUUUGUCUUCAUUUUACUUUUAGUUGCCUUUCAGGAUUCCAUGUCAGGUUUGCAAUUGUCUUUUGACAUCUUAAAGACUCUGCUUAUUCCCUUGGAGAGACAUAGCUCUUUAUAGAUCUCAUAGACAAGUGUAAAGUAAAAUUAUAUCAUUUUCACUCUAUGAGAGUUCACUUUAGCACACAAUUACUUCUGAAGUCUUCUUUGACUGAUUAGAAUAAAGUUGGCAAUUCAUUUCUUGCCAUAUAAUGCCAAUGUUUUUCAAUUACUCUACCUUCUUUAGUAUAAGUUUUUCUAAAGUAAGUGAGAUAAUGGUUAUGAAAAGUUUGCAAACCAUGUGAUACCUUAUGACAUUAUUAUUGUUAUUAUUAAUCAAUUAGAAAAUAAAUACAGUGAAAUACUAUAUAAAUUUGUUCAAUAUUUUUUCAUCCUUCUUCAUCAAGCCCAUUUCCUUUAAAUGUUACUUUGUAAUUAUUUCAUAUGUCUUUGUUUACAAAAACAUUGUAGUCAUUACCCUGAAGUCAAGGGUAAACUCAAAGCUCUUUUAUAAACUGCCUGUGGUCCAUAUUUCUGUAUUCUGUGUUUUUGUUGUGUGCAAAGAAAGGAGCAGAAAGUGUGUUCAUUGCCUUUCUAACCACAAUGAUGCCAUUUCACUGAGGAAACAAUAUCAACAUAAAUGACACCAUCAGAGAAAAAUAUGAAAAAGAAUGAAUAAAGUUCUAAAGUGUCCUAGACAUUUGAUGUCACGGGAGCUUGAAAAGACUUGAUGGCUCACAGAUGCCUGUGAGCUCAGAGGACAGGACCCCUCUGAAGCUGGUGCUCAGCUGUCUUAAGAGAAAGCAAAGGAAUAAGAUUCAUAUUUACAGAUGGGGAAAAGUUAAGUGAGUAAAUACUUUUCUUAAAAAUGCCAUGACACAUUGUUGCUAACAAAAUGUCCACUCUUUAAAUCAGAAUCAUGUCUUUUCAAAUUGCUACACAUUCAUUAAAAUUUUUAGGAAAGAAUAUCAAUAUGGUAUGCAUCAUUACAUAUACUACUGUCAUCAGAAUGUGAGUCAGUGCCAAUUAAAGUCCACAAACACUUUCCAAUUGUUUGUAAGGAUCUGCAUUACAUGCUAUAAGAAAUACAAAGAUGAACAGUACUUGGUAACUUCCUUAUUGAAAUGUGAAUGGUACAGGAGGUUGGAAAUAUUUAAAUAGAAUGGAGAAAGUGAAGAAUAAGUAGCCUAAAUUUUAUUUCAAAUUUUGCCCUGAUUUGUUGUUACAGCAUGGAAAAAGCCCUUAUCCUUCUG